rnacentral:lncRNA from 1 species
UUCUGUAGCUGCAAAAAUACCUCUAGGUGUUCCGGACACUAUGUGCCUAUAGCUGGCUACAGGAUCACAGCAGCCAAAAGCCCUCCAGGAAGAAGUAUGGAAGCAGCUUUAUUGAGGUUGCCAGCAAGGAUUACGGCUUCUUUGACGCAUGAACGUUUUGGAAUUUAUGAGGAUUUUAAUGAGGAUUUUCUGAAAAAAAUAAAAAUUGUUAUGUUCUGGGCAUUCAUCUAUCCUCUCAUCAGCUUUUGAUCUACCACAUCUUGGGAUAUGAAUAAUGUUUCUGUUAAUGAGCCAGCCUCUGGGAACCAUCACUCUCCUAUUGCUUAAGAUUUCCAGUUGUUACCUUAGAAUUUUGCAACAUAAAUUUACAAUUAAUCCAAACCUGCUUUCAAAUAACACCAUAUCACCACGUAGGUUGACAAACUACAGCCAGUGGACCAAAUCCAGCCCCUGACUAUUUUUCUAAACUUUACCUCAGAUACUGCUGAUAUUUACUGAUACAAUUGGCUCUGGGUCGAACUUGAAGCUGCAGCAGAAGAAGAUAUGGAAAAACUAAAAUCUUCCUCAAGCAAAUAUUAGAGUAAUUGUCAUUAUCUCACCAUGCUCUUUUCCUGGUUAUAAAUAUGCUAGAAAACAUUCUUACUGUAAUUUUAAUAAAGUAUUUCUCUAUGUUUU